rnacentral:rRNA from 1 species
GACGAACGCUGGCGGCGUGCUUAACACAUGCAAGUCGAGCGGUAAGGCCCUUUCGGGGGUACACGAGCGGCGAACGGGUGAGUAACACGUGGGUGACCUGCCCUCAGCUCUGGGAUAAGCCCGGGAAACUGGGUCUAAUACCGGAUAUGACUCCAUGACGCAUGUUGUGGGGUGGAAAGCCUUGUGCGGCUGAGGAUGGGCCCGCGGCCUAUCAGCUUGUUGGUGGGGUNAUGGCCACCAAGGCGACGACGGGUAGCCGGCCUGAGAGGGCGACCGGCCACACUGGGACUGAGAUACGGCCCAGACUCCUACGGGAGGCAGCAGUGGGGAAUCUUGCGCAAUGGGCGAAAGCCUGACGCAGCGACGCCGCGUGAGGGA